rnacentral:rRNA from 1 species
UACGGAGGGUGCAAGCGUUAUCCGGAUUUACUGGGUUUAAAGGGUGCGUAGGUGGGUCUGUAAGUCAGUGGUGAAAUCUCCGAGCUUAACUCGGAAACUGCCAUUGAUACUAUAGGUCUUGAAUUAUCUGGAGGUAAGCGGAAUAUGUCAUGUAGCGGUGAAAUGCUUAGAUAUGACAUAGAACACCAAUUGCGAAGGCAGCUUACUACGGAUAUAUUGACACUGAGGCACGAAGGCGUGGGGAUCAAACAGG